UAAAAGAAAUAGACGCUAAUCUUUGAAAUUAAAGAUCUUUGAAAUCUAUUAUGGUGCAAAUAAGAAAAUAAAAAAGUGAUUCGUUACCUAAUCCUACCUAAAUGCAUUAUUAUAUUAUUGUAUAUUAGCCAAUCGUAUUACAACCAACAAAAAAGAUAAUUAUGUUCAUAUUAAUACUUUUUUAUUCACUUGAUAUUUGCGCCAUAGUAGUUGAGUUUACUUAAGGAGUUCUUUUUUGAUUAAAAGCAAAAGCCAAAUCAAAAAUUUUUUGAUAGAAUGCGUGCAAUAGUGUUGAUACUUUUGAUCUCACUUGUUUAUCUUGGAAGUGUUGAAAGUAUUACGAGCUUAACUUGGCCAGGGUCAAAAAGAGAACAAAAUUACAAAAGAGCGGCAGAAAUUGUUGUUGAUAAACUUGUAUCAAAAUUGAUGACGAUGAUAGAUGACGUGGAGUUGUUAGAUGAAUGAUACAUCUAAACAGCAAAUAGAAGAAAUUGAAGUUAAUUGAAGAUUAUAAAUAAUAAUUGAUGAUAUGAAAACUAUUAAGGGAAAUUAGA